GAUGAACGCUGGCGGCGUGCCUAAUACAUGCAAGUCGAACGAACAGACGAGGAGCUUGCUCCUCUGACGUUAGCGGCGGACGGGUGAGUAACACGUGGAUAACCUACCUAUAAGACUGGGAUAACUUCGGGAAACCGGAGCUAAUACCGGAUAAUAUAUUGAACCGCAUGGUUCAAUAGUGAAAGACGGUUUUGCUGUCACUUAUAGAUGGAUCCGCGCCGCAUUAGCUAGUUGGUAAGGUAACGGCUUACCAAGGCAACGAUGCGUAGCCGACCUGAGAGGGUGAUCGGCCACACUGGAACUGAGACACGGUCCAGACUCCUACGGGAGGCAGCAGUAGGGAAUCUUCCGCAAUGGGCGAAAGCCUAACGGAGCAACGCCGCGUGAGUGAUGAAGGUCUUCGGAUCGUAAAACUCUGUUAUUAGGGAAGAACAAAUGUGUAAGUAACUAUGCACGUCUUGACGGUACCUAAUCAGAAAGCCACGGCUAACUACGUG
rnacentral:rRNA from 1 species